rnacentral:tRNA from 1 species
GCCGCCUUAGCUCAGUUGGUAGAGCACGGCAUUCGUAAUGCCGGGGUCGCGUGUUCGAGUCACGCAGGCGGCACCA